UACGAAGGUGGCAAGCGUUGUUCGGAAUCAUUGGGCGUAAAGGGCGCGUAGGCGGAUUUGUAAGUCGAUUGUGAAAGCCCUGGGCUUAACCCGGGAAUGGCAGUCGAAACUGCAAGUCUUGAGUACUGGAGAGGAUGGUGGAAUUCCUGGAGUAGAAGUGAAAUUCGUAGAUAUCAGGAGGAACACCGGAGGCGAAGGCGGCCAUCUGGCCAGUCACUGACGCUGAGGCGCGAAAGCGUGGGGAGCAAACAGG
rnacentral:rRNA from 1 species